UUCAGGCUUGGUUAUCUAAAUUUUUCUUAACAUUAAAAUAAUUCAAAUAUUUUUAAAUUUUCAGUGCAUUGCAGGCGAUUUGGAAACUGAGCGCCGGACUUGUGCCCCUUUGCAAGAAAUUAAGUUCAUCAUUGCCCAUCUAGAUUUUAUGUCCCUUUCCUUUUGAGACAAGCAUAUUCUCUCCAGGAAUUUCCAAAGAAGAUUAAGGUUUUUAUCGUCUUUGAAAUUUACUUGUCAGUUACCUAGCCUGCAGAGUUUUUUUUUGAAGUCGGAGUCACUGUUAUUUACAUCAUUCUCAAGGAAUUUUCCCUCAAAUUCUUACGGUUUUAGAAACAGAUCAUUAUGACGGAAUCAAAGUUGCUAGUUCUGAGUAUUAUCAGAUUUUUGCGUCAAGAAAGUGAAAAUGAACAAUUGGAUGCAGACACAGUGGAGGCAAUAGAAGUAGCAUCACAAUGUUUAGAAAAUGCGUUCAAUAUCUCCCAACCUGAUUAUGAUCAUAACAUUUUGAAUUUGUUGUCUUUGAAAAGUAUUUUCCAUGAUCAUGUCUCCAAGUUGCCUCCACAAUUCUGGCCAGAUGCGUCCGAAUCUGAAAAAAAGCAGCAGAUGAAU
rnacentral:lncRNA from 1 species